CAGCCGCCGCGGUAAUACGAAGGGUGCAAGCGUUACUCGGAAUUACUGGGCGUAAAGCGUGCGUAGGUGGUGGUUUAAGUCCGUUGUGAAAGCCCUGGGCUCAACCUGGGAAUUGCAGUGGAUACUGGGUCACUAGAGUGUGGUAGAGGAUAGUGGAAUUUCCAGUGUAGCAGUGAAAUGCGUAGAGAUCGGAAGGAACAUCUGUGGCGAAGGCGACUAUCUGGACCUGUACUGACGCUCAUGCACGAAAGCGUGGGGAGCAAACAGGAUUAGAUACCCGCGUAGUCCCUGUCUCUUAUAC
rnacentral:rRNA from 1 species